rnacentral:rRNA from 1 species
GACAGAGGGUGCAAACGUUGUUCGGAAUUACUGGGCGUAAAGCGCGUGUAGGCGGCCCUGCAAGUCGGGUGUGAAAUCCCACGGCUCAACCGUGGAAGUGCACUCGAAACUGCAGGGCUAGAGUCCUGGAGAGGAAGGUGGAAUGCUUGGUGUAGAGGUGAAAUUCGUAGAUAUCAAGCGGAACACCGGUGGCGAAGGCGGCCUUCUGGACAGUGACUGACGCUGAGACGCGAAAGCGUGGGGAGCAAACAGGAUAGAA